rnacentral:rRNA from 1 species
ACUAAGCGUACACGGUGGAUGCCCUGGCAGUCAGAGGCGAUGAAGGACGUGCUAAUCUGCGAAAAGCGCCGGCGAGGUGAUAUGAACCUUUGACCCGGCGAUGUCCGAAUGGGGAAACCCAGUGUGAUUCGUCACACUAUCGUUAACUGAAUACAUAGGUUAACGAGGCGAACCGGGGGAACUGAAACAUCUAAGUACCCCGAGGAAAAGAAAUCAACCGAGAUUCCCCCAGUAGCGGCGAGCGAACGGGGAGCAGCCCAGAGUCUGAAUCAGCUUGUGUGUUAGUGGAAGCGUCUGGAAAGUCGCACGGUACAGGGUGACAGUCCCGUACACGAAAGCACACAGGUUGUGAACUCGAAGAGUAGGGCGGGACACGUGGUAUCCUGUCUGAAUAUGGGGGGACCAUCCUCCAAGGCUAAAUACUCCUGACUGACCGAUAGUGAACCAGUACCGUGAGGGAAAGGCGAAAAGAACCCCGGCGAGGGGAGUGAAAAAGAACCUGAAACCGUGUACGUACAAGCAGUGGGAGCACCUUCGUGGUGUGACUGCGUACCUUUUGUAUAAUGGGUCAGCGACUUAUAUUCUGUAGCAAGGUUAACCGUAUAGGGGAGCCGAAGGGAAACCGAGUCUUAACUGGGCGUUAAGUUGCAGGGUAUAGACCCGAAACCCGGUGAUCUAGCCAUGGGCAGGUUGAAGGUUGGGUAACACUAACUGGAGGACCGAACCGACUAAUGUUGAAAAAUUAGCGGAUGACUUGUGGCUGGGGGUGAAAGGCCAAUCAAACCGGGAGAUAGCUGGUUCUCCCCGAAAGCUAUUUAGGUAGCGCCUCGUGAACUCAUCUUCGGGGGUAGAGCACUGUUUCGGCUAGGGGGCCAUCCCGGCUUACCAACCCGAUGCAAACUACGAAUACCGAAGAAUGUUAUCACGGGAGACACACGGCGGGUGCUAACGUCCGUCGUGAAGAGGGAAACAACCCAGACCGCCAGCUAAGGUCCCAAAGUCAUGGUUAAGUGGGAAACGAUGUGGGAAGGCACAGACAGCCAGGAUGUUGGCUUAGAAGCAGCCAUCAUUUAAAGAAAGCGUAAUAGCUCACUGGUCGAGUCGGCCUGCGCGGAAGAUGUAACGGGGCUAAACCAUGCACCGAAGCUGCGGCAGCGACACUAUGUGUUGUUGGGUAGGGGAGCGUUCUGUAAGCCGUUGAAGGUGUGCUGUGAGGCAUGCUGGAGGUAUCAGAAGUGCGAAUGCUGACAUAAGUAACGAUAAAGCGGGUGAAAAGCCCGCUCGCCGGAAGACCAAGGGUUCCUGUCCAACGUUAAUCGGGGCAGGGUGAGUCGACCCCUAAGGCGAGGCCGAAAGGCGUAGUCGAUGGGAAACAGGUUAAUAUUCCUGUACUUGGUGUUACUGCGAAGGGGGGACGGAGAAGGCUAUGUUAGCCGGGCGACGGUUGUCCCGGUUUAAGCAUGUAGGCGGAGGUUCCAGGUAAAUCCGGUACCUUUUAACGCUGAGGUGUGAUGACGAGGCACUACGGUGCUGAAGUAACAAAUGCCCUGCUUCCAGGAAAAGCCUCUAAGCAUCAGGUAACAUCAAAUCGUACCCCAAACCGACACAGGUGGUCAGGUAGAGAAUACCAAGGCGCUUGAGAGAACUCGGGUGAAGGAACUAGGCAAAAUGGUGCCGUAACUUCGGGAGAAGGCACGCUGAUAUGUAGGUGAAGCCCCUGCGGGUGGAGCUGAAAUCAGUCGAAGAUACCAGCUGGCUGCAACUGUUUAUUAAAAACACAGCACUGUGCAAACACGAAAGUGGACGUAUACGGUGUGACGCCUGCCCGGUGCCGGAAGGUUAAUUGAUGGGGUUAGCGGUAACGCGAAGCUCUUGAUCGAAGCCCCGGUAAACGGCGGCCGUAACUAUAACGGUCCUAAGGUAGCGAAAUUCCUUGUCGGGUAAGUUCCGACCUGCACGAAUGGCGUAAUGAUGGCCAGGCUGUCUCCACCCGAGACUCAGUGAAAUUGAACUCGCUGUGAAGAUGCAGUGUACCCGCGGCAAGACGGAAAGACCCCGUGAACCUUUACUAUAGCUUGACACUGAACACUGGUCCUUGAUGUGUAGGAUAGGUGGGAGGCUUUGAAGUGUGGACGCCAGUCUGCAUGGAGCCGUCCUUGAAAUACCACCCUUUAAUGGCUGGUGUUCUAACGUAGACCCGUGAUCCGGGUUGCGGACAGUGUCUGGUGGGUAGUUUGACUGGGGCGGUCUCCUCCCAAAGAGUAACGGAGGAGCACGAAGGUUAGCUAAUCCUGGUCGGACAUCAGGAGGUUAGUGCAAUGGCAUAAGCUAGCUUGACUGCGAGAGUGACGGCUCGAGCAGGUGCGAAAGCAGGUCAUAGUGAUCCGGUGGUUCUGAAUGGAAGGGCCAUCGCUCAACGGAUAAAAGGUACUCCGGGGAUAACAGGCUGAUACCGCCCAAGAGUUCAUAUCGACGGCGGUGUUUGGCACCUCGAUGUCGGCUCAUCACAUCCUGGGGCUGAAGUAGGUCCCAAGGGUAUGGCUGUUCGCCAUUUAAAGUGGUACGCGAGCUGGGUUUAGAACGUCGUGAGACAGUUCGGUCCCUAUCUGCCGUGGGCGCUGGAGAAUUGAGGGGGGCUGCUCCUAGUACGAGAGGACCGGAGUGGACGCAUCACUGGUGUUCGGGUUGUCAUGCCAAUGGCACUGCCCGGUAGCUAAAUGCGGAAAAGAUAAGUGCUGAAAGCAUCUAAGCACGAAACUUGCCCCGAGAUGAGUUCUCCCUGAGACUUUAAGUCUCCUGAAGGAACGUUGAAGACGACGACGUUGAUAGGUCGGGUGUGUAAGCGCAGCGAUGCGUUGAGCUAACCGAUACUAAUGAACCGUGAGGCUUAACC